rnacentral:rRNA from 1 species
CAGUCGCCACGGGAAUACGUAGGGUGCAAGCGUUAAUCGGAAUUACUGGGCGUAAAGCGUGCGCAGGCGGUUAUAUAAGACAGAUGUGAAAUCCCCGGGCUCAACCUGGGAACUGCAUUUGUGACUGUAUAGCUAGAGUACGGCAGAGGGGGAUGGAAUUCCGCGUGUAGCAGUGAAAUGCGUAGAUAUGCGGAGGAACACCGAUGGCGAAGGCAAUCCCCUGGGCCUGUACUGACGCUCAUGCACGAAAGCGUGGGGAGCAAACAGGAUUAGAUACCCCCGUAGUCCCUGUCUCUUAUCC